rnacentral:rRNA from 1 species
GGACUACCAGGGUAUCUAAUCCUGUUUGAUCCCCGCACUUUCGUUUCUCAGCGUCAAUAUUGGACCAGGCAGCCGCCUUCGCCUCCGGUAUUCCUCCUGAUAUCUACGUAUUUCACCACUACACCAGGAAUUCUACUGCCCUCUUCCAUAUUCAAGCUCUGCAGUUUCGAAUGCACUUCCAUGGUUGAGCCAUGGGAUUUCACACCCGACUUAUAGAGCCGCCUACAAACGCUUUACGCCCAGUGAUUCCGAACAACGCUAGGACCCCUCGUCUUACCGCGGCUGCUGGCAC